UAAGUUCCUAACUUUGAUGACCCACAUUAU
rnacentral:piRNA from 1 species